rnacentral:rRNA from 1 species
AUGGGCAGGCUCGGAGCCCUCUGCGAGCAGGUGAAGAAGCUUAAUUUCCAGGGGUAUGAGGUGAUUCUAUUCGCCUCCGGCGCCGUUGGCAUCGGGAGGCAGAGGCUCAAGUACCGAAAGCUCAUCAACAGCCAUGUUGCAGAGAGUUUUUUCUCACAGCAGUUUACUGACGGUCAUUGCCUCUGGUUAUCGUCACUGCUUGUGUGCUGA